rnacentral:rRNA from 1 species
AUUGAACGCUGGCGGCAGGCCUAACACAUGCAAGUCGAGCGGUAGAGAGGUGCUUGCAUCUCUUGAGAGCGGCGGACGGGUGAGUAAUGCCUAGGAAUCUGCCUAGUGGUGGGGGAUAACGUUCGGAAACGGACGCUAAUACCGCAUACGUCCUACGGGAGAAAGCGGGGGAUCUUCGGACCUCGCGCCAUUAGAUGAGCCUAGGUCGGAUUAGCUAGUUGGUGAGGUAAUGGCUCACCAAGGCGACGAUCCGUAACUGGUCUGAGAGGAUGAUCAGUCACACUGGAACUGAGACACGGUCCAGACUCCUACGGGAGGCAGCAGUGGGGAAUAUUGGACAAUGGGCGAAAGCCUGAUCCAGCCAUGCCGCGUGUGUGAAGAAGGUCUUCGGAUUGUAAAGCACUUAAGUUGGGAGGAAGGGUAGUAACCUAAUACGUUGCUACUUUGACGUUACCGACAGAAUAAGCACCGGCUAAACUUCGUGUCCAGCAGCC